rnacentral:rRNA from 1 species
GUAGGUGGCAAGCGUUGUCCGGAAUUAUUGGGCGUAAAGCGCGCGCAGGCGGUUCUUUAAGUCUGAUGUGAAAGCCCACGGGCUCAACCGUGGAGGGUCAUUGGAAACUGGAGAACUUGAGUACAGAAGAGGAAAGCGGAAUUCCACGUGUAGCGGUGAAAUGCGUAGAGAUGUGGAGGAACACCAGUGGCGAAGGCGGCUUUCUGGUCUGUAACUGACGCUGAGGCGCGAAAGCGUGGGGAGCAAACAGGAUUAGAUACCCUGGUAGUCCACGCCGUAAACGAUGAGUGCUAAGUGUUAGGGGGUUUCCGCCCCUUGGUGCUGCAGCUAACGCAUUAAGCACUCCGCCUGGGGAGUACGGCCGCAAAGGCUG